rnacentral:rRNA from 1 species
GAUGAACGCUGGCGGCGUGCCUAAUACAUGCAAGUCGAGCGAACAGACGAGGAGCUUGCUCCUCUGACGUUAGCGGCGGACGGGUGAGUAACACGUGGAUAACCUACCUAUAAGACUGGGAUAACUUCGGGAAACCGGAGCUAAUACCGGAUAAUAUAUUGAACCGCAUGGUUCAAUAGUGAAAGACGGUUUUGCUGUCACUUAUAGAUGGAUCCGCGCCGCAUUAGCUAGUUGGUAAGGUAACGGCUUACCAAGGCAACGAUGCGUAGCCGACCUGAGAGGGGAAUGGGCACACUGGAACUGAGACACGGUCCAGACUCCUACGGGAGGCAGCAGUAGGGAAUCUUCCGCAAUGGGCGAAAGCCUGACGGAGCAACGCCGCGUGAGUGAUGAAGGUCUUCGGAUCGUAAAACUCUGUUAUUAGGGAAGAACAAAUGUGUAAGUAACUAUGCACGUCUUGACGGUACCUAAUCAGAAAGCCACGGCUAACUACGUG